AUGAUUUCUAUUUUCCUUGAAGACCAAGGAAUCAUAUUUUAUUUAUUUUCUGGAAAAGAUCAGCAUGCUAAUUUUUCCUUACUCUUAUCCAGAAUUUGUUAUUGCCAUCAGAAGGUGUACUACUUGACCAUGCAGGAUACAAGGUGUCAUGAUGAUUUGAUGAGGCGGCACGCUCACUGCAGCUUGACCACGUCAUCCCUGCCAAUGCCGAUUAGCUCAGCCUUGGUGGCGGCGGGCUCCUGGACUACCUCAAGCAGGCGCCUGCCGCGGCGGCCGACAUGUGAGGUAUGCUCUUUGGUACUAACUCUUCAUUCUCGACAUCUGGCUGUGUCUGUUCCUCAUAUUGUCUCCAAAUACCGGUGCGAAAAGGCUUUCUUCUAG
rnacentral:rRNA from 1 species